GACGAACGCUGGCGGCGUGCUUAACACAUGCAAGUCGAACGGAAAGGCCCUGCUUUUGUGGGGUGCUCGAGUGGCGAACGGGUGAGUAACACGUGAGUAACCUGCCCUUGACUUUGGGAUAACUUCAGGAAACUGGGGCUAAUACCGGAUAGGAGCUCCUGCUGCAUGGUGGGGGUUGGAAAGUUUCGGCGGUUGGGGAUGGACUCGCGGCUUAUCAGCUUGUUGGUGGGGUAGUGGCUUACCAAGUCUUUGACGGGUAGCCGGCCUGAGAAGGUGACCGGCCACAUUGGGACUGAGAUACGGCCCAGACUCCUACGGGAGGCAGCAGUGGGGAAUAUUGCACAAUGGGCGGAAGCCUGAUGCAGCAACGCCGCGUGCGGGAUGACGGCCUUCGGGUUGUAAACCGCUUUCGCCUGUGACGAAGCGUGAGUGACGGUAAUGGGUAAAGAAGCACCGGCUAACUACGUG
rnacentral:rRNA from 1 species